rnacentral:lncRNA from 1 species
CAUGGAUCUGUGAGACAGUUGUUUGGUCGUAUAUGAUACAUGUUGUAGGUGGCCGCUCCUACCGAAUAUGUUAGAUGAGGUGAUGGCAAGCAAAUCCGGUUUGAUUGCAUGUAUUACAACAACAAGCUAGAGCAUGACAACAUGAGUAGGGACAUGUCCAUAUGUUAAUUCGAUGUGCUACAAACAUACCAAAUUAACAUAUUUUGUAGACAAUGUAAGGGAUGUAAUACAUAAAUUUAGCACAAGGAGUAAAAAAGAAUAUACAAAGAGUCCCCGCAAGUUUAAGGGAUGAAAGAUGUUGAUGCUGGUAACUAAGUUCCUCAUCCAACGAUUUGUAAUCCAUAGAGGUGAUAAGUUUAAUUUCUAAUAGGACGACAACUCCAUACUUGUCUUUACCUGAAUUACAACCAUGGAGACAAAAAAAGUUAAAGGCCAAAAUACUUUUUUGUUGCUACCGGUUUUAGAUUGAGACCUGAAGUUCCUAACUAAAGCAUGGUCUUCGACCCAAGGAUGUUCUAUUAAUUGAGCAGCAGUUUGACGUGCAGUAGGAUCAUGCUGCAAGCGGCAUUUUCGAAAGUUUUGCUUCAAAAGGAAAAUAUCUUGGGCAUCUGGUAUGUUGUUUUUCUAAAAUGAUAACCUGGAAAUGAAUGGACUUUAGUUUAUAUUCAUCUUACAGGGGGGGAAUACAUGAAAAACCAUCAAUAGCCUUCCUCCACUCCGUAGGAGCUUCCUUUCAAUAAUUUGAUAGAUAUGUAUGUUGAGUUGCUGACAUCUACAUUAGUAAUGCAUAUUAAAUAAAAUUGACUAUAAAAUAUAAAAAUUACCAAUAUCACUGACACGGUAUAGUAUAAUUGAUCUUGUGGUAUCACCAUUAUGAUUUACAAGUAUAAUUGCUUCCUUGGUAUCCCUGUGAGAAAGGUAAUUUAAUCAGUAAGGAUUAAGAAAAACGUGCAGAUUUAUCAUUAGAAAGGGCCAUCUCUCUUAUGUAUUGUGAUUUGAUGACUGCCCAAUACAUCUGCACUACGUUAUGCCAUAGAGGAUCUGUGCAGUGUAAAUCCGGAAUUAGGCCUCCCCUGAUGGACCAUAUUCUUGAGCAACUUAUGUAUACAGUGCCCAGAAAGAAACUCAAAAUAGACUGCAAAUAUCUCACUGGACAACAUUUAUAUCUGAAACAUAUUCAGGGAAAAUAUUACUCCUAUAAUUUAGUACAGAAUGCAUCUCUUCAUAAAUUACACCGCAGUGAUUUAUUGAUUCACGACUGUAAAAAAAUAUAUCGAAUUUAUCUAACCAAUUUGACAACAUCUAACUUUUGUAGUGCACAUGGCAGCGACCACACGGACCGUGGAUGUGCUUAUAGACACUGAAGACACGCAUGACCGCCAUUGCUGGAGUUUCGGACUAACCUGUCAACAUGGUUGCCACUUGGGUUUCCGCUACAAGCAUAGCGGUGCUACGUGUGAACACAGACGAACUGAUAGAGUACAGAGAUCGGGAGAAGCGGUUAUGGAAGGCUUUUUUACCUGUCCAAGAAAAAUUGGAUUAUCAUAUAAAUAAUUUCGAAGAUAAAAAAUCGUGAUAAUCAAUAUCCAAGAUCUGCCCGACUCAAUUUCAAUAUGAACAUCACCUAUACAAAAUUUUGAUCAGGAGGAUAUUAGCACAACAUAAUCGCUGGGUGGAAAAAGGAAUAGUAAUAUGAAUGGUAAAAAAGUGAAGAUAUGAAGGAACCUAGCAAAGCACCAUGCCGAUGGAUGUCCUAUCGCCGUAGUGAAACGGAUGAGUUGAGAGUGGUACAUGAAGAAGUAUAUAUACAUGUACCUAUACUGCGAGAGCAAAAGGACGAGAAAACAAAGAGACACCCAUUAAUCACCGCUGGCACACAUCAUCCGUCAUGAACGCGUGAAGAGAAACUGAAAGUGACUGCUGCCUUUAAACCCUAGGGGAGCAGUUUCUCUCGAGAAACAGCCGAACAACAUGCAUCGUCCAGAUCAGACCUACCGCACAAAACCGGUCGGCGGCCGUAUCGCCUACCUCUCCAUCUGCGUCUUCUCCCCUCCUCUGUCAAAGAACGAUCCGCUCGUCCUCUCAGACCACCGCAACGAUCUCUCUCUCUCGGAUUAGCGUAACCGCAUAAGUUCCACUCGGGUCGGUAGCUAAUUGGGCCGCCCAGAGCAGGAUC